GACGGCGCUGCACGUGGCUGUUCAAAACGGCGAACGAAAGAUCUGUUAUCUAUUGGUGUCGGCUGGAGCGCCGCUAUUGGCCGUCGAUAAACAAGACCGGACGGCUCAGCAAAUAGCCGAACAGACCAGAGACUAUGACCUCGCCAAAUACUUAGAAUGCCAAGCUCAGUUCGUAUCUUUCGCGGACCAAACGGAGACGUCCGUCUAGACACGGCGGCUGCGUCUGCUGAAUUAGACGGCAAUAAAACUAUCACUAUAUAUAAUAUAUUCUAUACAUUUUAAAUUUAUAUUAUUAUUAUUAUUGUUAUUAAUUGAUUAUAUUUUUAUUCACAAUCCGUCGACGCGCACGUCCUUUUUUAUGUAUAUUAUUAUAUUAUAGUCUCUGCGAGAUCGAUAAAAAUGA